rnacentral:lncRNA from 1 species
CCUCAGCAGCCGCGGCCGCCGCCUCUCCAUAGACACCCUCGCCGCGGGGCAGAGGCGGCGCGCCCCCCUGCGCAUGCGCCCGCCCCGUCGGCGCGCGCGCCCGGCCUACUCGGCCGGCCGGGGCGCGGGGACGCGCGGGCCGCCGCCAUGCGGUCCCCGAGGCCCACGUGACCAGGCGCGCGGCGGCGGCGGCGGCUCCGGCGGCGGUAGCGGCUGGAGCUCUCUCUUACCUGCUGGGUUCUUUUCGUGCUUGUGUCCUUCGCUUGCUGAGGAGAGAAACCCAAGUCUUUACACUAUUUGUUUCGCAACAUAAAACACAUUAUCCGAAGGCAGGGGGUGUCGUCUUGGAGGCCCUCUCAGCGCUGCCGCUACGCCCACCAGGCCUUGAGGCCGAGGCCGCCGAGCACAAUGGCCGCGCUCGGGCCGGGAGCUCUGCCUGGCCGCCGCGGGCCGUGCCGCCCAUUCGCCCGGGUGGCUGUUCUGGGCGCCACUGGGCCCUCCUAGGCCGCCCUUUGCCUCCCUGCCAUGCCCAGGUGGCGGGCUCGACCUCCCUGCCCGCUGGUCAAAGGCCCCGGCUAAUGGGUGGCCCAGGACCGGGGUUCCAAGAACUUAGGACCCACAGGGAAACGGUGCCGCGUGAACCGACUGGACACUGGCCGCCCCUCCGCUCGGGGCGGGCGCCCAGCCUGGGUCUGGGGGCAGGGCGGCAUCUCCUCCCCAGCAGGCCGGAGGGGAGGGCAGCGUGGAAUUCUGGCGCCUCCAAGGAAGGAAAAAUGUCCCUUGGGAAUCAGGGAGGCUGGAAUGUACCUCAAGCACAGAAACACCAGGUGUGGCCCUGUCUUCCCUAGAGGUGGCUGGCUGGCGCCUUACAUAUGAGAAAAAGAAUUGCUCGGACAUAUACAAAGGCAUAGGAUAACUGAAGAGCUGAGAAGAGGAAGAGACGUAAAAGAUAAAGGGAUAGGUAGGUAAGACAGAAAUUAAAAAAAGAUGAACAACAGAGUGAGGGAGGAAUAAAAAAGAAAGAAAAAUGUAUAGGUGGAAAUAG